rnacentral:rRNA from 1 species
AUUGAACGCUGGCGGCAUGCCUUACACAUGCAAGUCGAACGGUAACAGGUCUUCGGAUGCUGACGAGUGGCGAACGGGUGAGUAAUACAUCGGAACGUGCCUAGUAGUGGGGGAUAACUACUCGAAAGAGUGGCUAAUACCGCAUGAGAUCUACGGAUGAAAGCAGGGGAUCGCAAGACCUUGUGCUACUAGAGCGGACGAUGGCAGAUUAGGUAGUUGGUGGGAUAAAAGCUUACCAAGCCGACGAUCUGUAGCUGGGCUGAGAGGACGAUCAGCCACACUAGGACUGAUACACGGCCCAGACGCCUACGGGAGGCAGCAGUGGGGAAUUUUGGACAAUGGGCGAAAGCCUGAUCCAGCAAUGCCGCGUGCAGGAUGAAGGCCUUCGGGUUGUAAACUGCUUUUGUACGGAACGAAAAGCCCUGGGUUAAUACCCUGGGGUCAUGACGGUACCGUAAGAAUAAGCACCGGCUAACUACGUGCCAGCCGCCGCCGUAA